rnacentral:misc_RNA from 1 species
UUUCCGUAGGUGAACCUGCGGAAGGAUCAUUAUUGUAUAACCUAGGUGCGAUUGCUGUCGCUGACCCGAAGGAUCGUCCAAGCCCGAAUGCCCUCACACCCAUCCAUCUAACCCCUAUAUACACCACCACCUCGCUCCCCCUUAGGCUUAUUCGGGAGGGCGCUUUCGUUUUCACACCAACUUUGUAUUCAGUAGGUCUUUUUUUUUUUGUUUUUGCGAUCGCGUAAUCAAUACUACUUUCAACAACCGAUAUCUUUACUCUCGCAACGAUGAAGAACA